GUACCAUAACCGACACAGGUGGGUAAGUAGAGUAUACUAAGGGGCGCGAGAUAACUCUCUCUAAGGAACUCGGCAAAAUAACUCCGUAACUUCGGGAGAAGGAGUGCCUUAUUCUUAAGGUUGCAAUAACAAGAUCCAAGCAACUGUUUAUCAAAAACACAGGUCUCCGCUAAGUCGUAAGACGAUGUAUGGGGGCUGACGCCUGCCCAGUGCCAGAAGGUUAAAGAAGUCGGUUAGCAAUAGCAAAGCUUGUAACUGAAGCCCUGGUGAACGGCGGCCGUAACAAUAACGGUCCUAAGGUAGCGAAAUUCCUUGUCGGGUAAGUUCCGACCCGCACGAAAGGCGUAAUGAUUUGGAUGCUGUCUCGGAGAGGGGCUCGGUGAAAUAGACUUGUCUGUGAAGAUGCGGACUACCUGCACCAGGACAGAAAGACCCUAUGAAGCUUUACUGUAACUUGAAAUUGAAAUUGGACUUUAUUCGCGCAGUAUAGGUGGGAGGCGUUGAUUAUAAUCUUGUGGGAUUAUUGGAGCCAUCAGUGAGAUACCUCUCUUGUAAUGUUAGAUUUCUAACUUUGAAUCAUUAUCUGGUCAAAGGACAGUUUCAGGCGGGCAGUUUGACUGGGGCGGUCGCCACCUAAACGGUAACGGAGGCGUACAAAGGUUUCCUCUGAACGGUUAGAAAUCGUAUCUAGAGUGUAAAGGCAUAAGGAAGCUUGACUGUGAGACCUACAAGUCGAGCAGGGACGAAAGUCGGUCUUAGUGAUCUGACGGUACUGAGUGGAAAGGCCGUCACUCAACGGAUAAAAGUUACUCUAAGGAUAACAGGCUGAUCUCCCCCAAGAGUUCACAUCGACGGGGAGGUUUGGCACCUUGAUGUCGGCUCAUCGCAUCCUGGGGCGGUAGUACGUCCCAAGGGUUGGGCUGUUCGCCCAUGAAAGCGGUACGCGAGCUGGGUUCAGAACGUCGUGAGACAGUUCGGUCCAUAUCCGGUGUAGGCGCUAGAAUAUUGAGAGGAGCCUUCUUUAGUACGAGAGGACCGAGAAGGACAUACCUCUGGUGUGCCAGUUAUCGUGCCAACGGUAAACGCUGGGUAGCUAUGUAUGGAGUGGAUAACCGCUGAAAGCAUCUAAGUGGGAAGCCCACCUCAAGAUAAGUAUUCUCAUCACGUAAGUGAGUAAGGUCACGGUAAGACUAACCGUUUGAUAGGCAUUAAGUGUAAGUACAGUAAUGUAUGUGCUGAGAUGUCCUAAUAGACCGAGGACUUGA
rnacentral:rRNA from 1 species